ACAGCCGGACGGUCCGUCGCUGACGGGUUAUUGACAACGCCGUCUGAGGAAAGUCCGGGCAACACAGAGCGCCAUACUUCUUAACGGGAAGCCGCGGGUGACCGUGGAGUAACGUGACAGAAAACAACCGCCCGGCGGCACGUCCGUCAGGUAAGGGUGAAAAGGCGGGGUAAGAGCCCACCGGGCAUCACCGCAAGAUGAUGUGCCGCACGUCUUAUGGGUUGCAAGGUCAAGUAAACCGGCAUUUAAGGGUGGCUCGCCCGUUGCCGGAGGGUAGACUGCUACGGGAGAAGGUAAAGCCAUCUCCGAUUAGCCGCGAUGGUGACAUCGGGCAUAGAUAAAUGACGGACCGGACGCGGCAGGUCGGUCAGCCUCAGGGUUGGCCGAAACCCACGCUCCGACAGAACCCGGCUUACAGUCCGGCUGCCUCA
rnacentral:RNase_P_RNA from 1 species